GAGGAAUAUUGGUCAAUGGACGGAAGUCUGAACCAGCCAAGUAGCGUGCAGGAUGACGGCCCUAUGGGUUGUAAACUGCUUUUGUAUGGGGAUAAAGUUAGGGACGUGUCCCUAUUUGCAGGUACCAUACGAAUAAGGACCGGCUAAUUCCGUGCCAGCAGCCGCGGUAAUACGGAAGGUCCAGGCGUUAUCCGGAUUUAUUGGGUUUAAAGGGAGCGUAGGCUGGAGAUUAAGUGUGUUGUGAAAUGUAGACGCUCAACGUCUGAAUUGCAGCGCAUACUGGUUUCCUUGAGUACGCACAACGUUGGCGGAAUUCGUCGUGUAGCGGUGAAAUGCUUAGAUAUGACGAAGAACUCCGAUUGCGAAGGCAGCUGACGGGAGCGCAACUGACGCUUAAGCUCGAAGGUGCGGGUACCAAACAGGAUUAGAUACCCUGGUAGUCCGCACAGUAAACGAUGGAUGCCCGCUGUUGGUACCUGGUAUCAGCGGCUAAGCGAAAGCAUUAAGCAUCCCACCUGGGGAGUACGCCGGCAACGGUG
rnacentral:rRNA from 1 species